GAUGAACGCUGGCGGCGUGCUUAACACAUGCAAGUCGAGCGGAAAGGCGCUGCUCUUGUUGCGUGCUCGAUUGGCGAGCGCGUGAGUAACACACGAGUAACCUGCCCUUGACUGUGUGAUAACUUCUGGAGACAGGGGCUAAUAUCCGGUAUGAGCUCCUGCUGCACAGGGGUGGUUGGAAAGUGUCGGCGGUAGGGGAUGGACUCGCAGCUUAUCGGCUGGUUGGUGGGGUAGUGGCUUACCAAGGCUUUGACGGGUAGCCGGCCUGAGAGCUGGAACGGGCACAAUGGGACUGAGAGACGGAGCAGAAGGGUACGGGCGGCAGUAGUCGGAAACCUUGCACAAUGGGGCGAAGCGUGAGGCAGAAACCUUGCGUGCGGAAUACCGGCCUUCGGGUUGUAAACAGCUUUCGACUGUGACGAAGAGUGAGUGACGGUAAUGGGUAAAGAAGCAACGGCUAACUACGUG
rnacentral:rRNA from 1 species